rnacentral:rRNA from 1 species
GAUGAACGCUGGCGGCGUGCCUAAUACAUGCAAGUCGAGCGAACAGACGAGGAGCUUGCUCCUCUGACGUUAGCAGCGGACGGGUGAGUAACACGUGGAUAACCUACCUAUAAGACUGGGAUAACUUCGGGAAACCGGAGCUAAUACCGGAUAAUAUAUUGAACCGCAUGGUUCAAUAGUGAAAGACGGUUUUGCUGUCACUUAUAGAUGGAUCCGCGCCGCAUUAGCUAGUUGGUAAGGUAACGGCUUACCAAGGCAACGAUGCGUAGCCGACCUGAGAGGGUGAUCGGCCACACUGGAACUGAGACACGGUCCAGACUCCUACGGGAGGCAGCAGUAGGGAAUCUUCCGCAAAGGGCGAAAGCCUGACGGAGCAACGCCGCGUGAGUGAUGAAGGUCUUCGGAUCGUAAAACUCUGUUAUUAGGGAAGAACAAAUGUGUAAGUAACUAUGCACGUCUUGACGGUACCUAAUCAGAAAGCCACGGCUAACUACGUG